UCCCUUUUGUACAACGUACCGCACGUUUUACGUUGCAAAGUGGCCGUCAUGAAGCGUCGUGAGCAGCGCCGACAGCGCGAGCGCGAGCAGCUGCCGGCUGCCUUGACGAAGCUGGUCCAACUCAUUCCAUCCGACGAGGAUGCGCGCAGCUACCUUGCAAGGGAGUUCGCCGACAUCACACAGGGCGAAGCGGGGCUGAAUGCACCGUGCUCCGCGGAGGGAGGUGGGCACGAUGCUGGCGCAGGCGACGCGUGGAUCUACGGCAGCGGGCUCGAGAAGCUGCUGUCGGUUCUAGGAGAGGAGGCGUGUCCUGAUGGCGCUUUUGAUAUUGUUCGUAUCACUCGCCGCGUGCCGCGUAGCCAAUCCACGAUUUACAGAAUCAACGUGGCAGAGUUGUGCUUUGCGGUUUCCCAGGCGUCGGGCCCGGUGGAUGUCCACGAGCGACGCCGCACUGCUGCUGCCACGUCCGGGCCGCUGGACGAGACGAUACCUCUUCUGCAGUACUACCGAGGCAGUCGAUUUGACGCCAUUGUGCAUGGCGAGGACCCGUCUUCUUCUGCAGCUCGACAUGCCGCCGCCGCAGCAUUAUCGGAGAAAAACGGCAGCCAUCCUGAGAUCGCCUCUGCAGGCAACGGCAGCAGAAAGAACGUUGACUCGGAAUGGUCGGCGUUCGUGCAGAGCAUGUCUACGCCGCUUCCUAUGACGCUUCGCCUGCACCACAGCGAGCGUGCUUUGGAGGCCAUCGCAACCCGCAUGCUCACCACACCCGACAUCGCCGCCGUGGUGCGUCCUGUGGCCGCCUUUCCGUCCACCUCUGGUCUCUACUCCUGCAGCAAUAGCGACUACCACAGCCACAAGCGCGUGGAGUACGUCUGCCGCACCCUGCACGCUGCUAGCGCCGUGUCAUUUCAGGAGGUGGUGUCGGCGAUACCGGUGUUUGUGCUGGAUGUGCAGCCGCAACACACUGUCGUGGAUCUCUGCGCGGCACCUGGAAGCAAAACAGUGCAGGCGUUGGACACUAUGCUGAGCGGUGGGUGGUCUGCAGACGUCUGCCGCGGGGUGCUCAUCGCAAACGAAAAGGACAGAGUGAAGGCGACGCAGACACUUCCGGCGCGUUUGAAGCGCUACCACGCCCCGAACGUGAUGACCACCCGAUGCGACGGUGUGCAGUGGCCCCGUUUGUACCUCGACGAUCCUACGAACUCGAGCAGCGAGCUGCAAGAACUGCGGUUUGACCGCAUCAUCUGCGACGUCCCGUGCAGCGGUGACGGCACCAUCCGCAAAGAGCGUUCCAUCGCCACAACAUGGUCGGCAAGCUACGUGAAGUCCCUCGUGCCAACCCAACGUGCGUUGCUGUGCCGCGGCCUUGACCUCUUGGCCACAGGGGGCAUUCUAGUCUACAGCACAUGCAGCAUGGAUCCGAAGGAAGACGAGGAGGUGGUUUGCGUCGGGUUGGAGGCUUUCGGCGACAGUGUCGAGCUCAUCGACGUGAACGCGGUUCUACAGCAGAAGGGGUUUCACCUGCAUUCGGCAGGAGGUAUUCUCUCCCCGAAUGUGGAGGGGAUGCAGCACCCAGUGCUGCCGCCCACGUACGACGGCAACAAGGUCCUGCGCAUUUUGCCGCAUCGUGAUGACACCGGCGGGUUUUUUGUGGCGGCUUUCCGCAAAGUAAAGCAGCCAGACUGGACGGCGCCAACAGUGGUUCGACACAAGCUGAACCACUGGACGAAAGGCAAGCUGUGGGCGCCGGUUGGCGUCGAGGACGAGGCGUGGGUCAACAUAUCAACCUUCUACGGCUUUGACCGCCGCGACGAAGCGAACUUCGCCUACUAUGACGCCACUAGCUCUUCGUCCGGGAAAGGUCUCGUGCCUCUGUAUCACCUCAAUCCAAAUGGUGGGCCCAUACGCCGCAUCGUUCUCUCGACUCCCGCGCUGGCGGAUAUGGUGCUGCGCACACGUCCGUACAAGGGCCCUGGCGUGGAGGUGGUUUCCGUCGGUGUGCGCGCGUUCGAGGCAUACGACGGGAGGUUUUUGCCCACUGCGGCCUGCCGGUGGCGCGCCGUCGUCGAGUCCGCCUCUUUUCUGGCACCGCGCUUUACUGCCCGAAGGCUGCAUUUCCGCGUCUCGAAGCACAAGCAGCUACUCGAGAAUCUGCUCCGAAACGGCCACGUUUACACGCGAGAUCACUGGAGGGCAGUGCUGGGCGGAGAUUCUGCCGUUGUAGCCGCUAACGCGAAUCCGAAGGCGCUGGUCAAGCCUGGCAGCCGACUCGAGGCGUUGUUGAUGCAGGGCAGUAGUGAAUCUACCAUCUCUGACGAGGAGGUGGCGGUGCUGCUGACAAGCCAGGUGGAGGUAGGGUGCGUUUUGGUGGGCAUCAUCUCCGACGAGCCGACCGAUGCAGCCGCUGGUCCGUGGUACAUGAGCGCGACGCUGAGCGGGCACAAGCUGGAGCUCGCCAUUGAUGGCUCUCUGCGUGCGUUCGGGUUGAUGACGUUUUUUGGCAUUCACGACGUUGAGCGUGCCUCGCUGGUCGGCAACAACACCGGCAGUGCGGUCGCAGACGAAGCACCUGAGGAGCAGGCAAAGGAGGUGUAGCACCGGAAGCUGCACACGGCGUGGUGCCGCAUGAUUCCUGUGCUUUCACUGCAGUGGCUUAUCGAGACUAUAGUUACGUUUGAUUUCAAUCGAAGAGGCCAUGAAGCCUGUCUGCACUGUUGAUCCUUUUCCUUUCUUUGUGUGUGCGCACUGUUCUAAACGAGUAACUGCAUCUUCACUGACUAAACCGCCAAACUUCAUGAGUCGCAGGAGCAGCAUAGUUGUCGCCG
rnacentral:misc_RNA from 1 species